rnacentral:rRNA from 1 species
UAACUUUAGUAACUGCGAGUGAAGCGGGAAGAGCUCAAAUUUGUAAUCUGGCGGUCUUUGGCCGUCCGAGUUGUAAUCUGUAGAGGCGUCCUCUGCGUUGGACCGUGUACAAGUCUUCUGGAAUGGAGCGUCAUAGAGGGUGAGAAUCCCGUCCAUGACACGGACCACCAAUGCUUUGUGAGGUGCUCUCGAAGAGUCGCGUUGUUUGGGAAUGCAGCGCAAAAUGGGUGGUAAAUUCCAUCUAAGGCUAAAUAUUUGCGAGAGACCGAUAGCGAACAAGUACCGUGAGGGAAAGAUGAAAAGCACUUUGAAAAGAGAGUUAAACAGUACGUGAAAUUGUUGAAAGGGAAACGCUUGAAGCCAGUCGCGUUCUGUGGCACUCAGCCUUGCUUCGGCUUGGUGUACUUGCCUUAGAACGGGUCAACAUCAAUUUUGGCCGGCGGACAAGGGCAAGGGGAAUGUAGCGUUGUUUCGGCGACGUGUUAUAGCCUCUUGUCGAAUACGUCGGCUGAGAUUGAGGACUACAGCACGCCCUUGUGGCCAGGGUUACUCCCAUGUAACGUGCUUAGGAUGUUGGCAUAAUGGCUUUAAGCGACCCGUCUUGAAACACGGACCAAGGAGUCUAACAUGCUUGCGAGUGUUCGGGUGGAAAACCCUUGCGCGUAAUGAAAGUGAAAGUUUGGGAGCCUCUGCGAGGAGGUGCACUAACGCCCGGCCCUGAUGUUUUCGGACGGUGCUGCGGUAGAGCAUGUAUGUUAGGACCCGAAAGAUGGUGAACUAUGCCUGAAUAGGGCGAAGCCAGAGGAAACUCUGGUGGAGGCUCGUAGCGAUUCUGACGUGCAAAUCGAUCGUCGAAUUUGGG